GAUGAACGCUAGCGGGAGGCUUAAUACAUGCAAGUCGAGCGAGAAGAUGCCCUUCGGGGUGUUGGACAGCGGCGCACGGGUGAGUAACGCGUACGUAACCUGCCCCAUACAGAGGGAUAGCCCCGGGAAACUGGGAUUAAUACCUCAUGGUCUGAAGUCACCGCAUGGUGAUUUUAGUAAAGCUCCGGCGGUAUGGGAUGGACGUGCGUAAUAUUAGCUAGAUGGUGAGGUAACGGCUCACCAUGGCGAUGAUAUUUAGGGGGCGUGAGAGCGUGAUCCCCCACACGGGUACUGAGACACGGACCCGACUCCUACGGGAGGCAGCAGUAAGGAAUAUUGGGCAAUGGAGGCAACUCUGACCCAGCCAUCCCGCGUGCAGGAUGACGGCGCUUCGCGUUGUAAACUGCUUUUGUACCAGAUGAACGACAGGUAUUUAUGCUUGUGUGACGUUAUGGUAAGAAUAAGCACCGGCUAACUCCG
rnacentral:rRNA from 1 species